GCAUAUCAAUAAGCGGAGGAAAAGAAACCAACAGGGAUUGCCCUAGUAACGGCGAGUGAAGCGGCAACAGCUCAAAUUUGAAAUCUGGCGCAAGCCCGAGUUGUAAUUUGUAGAGGAUGCUUCUGGCCAGCGGCCGUUCUAAGUUCCUUGGAACAGGACGUCAUAGAGGGUGAGAAUCCCGUAUGUGACCGGCGCGCAGCCUUUACGUAGCUCCUUCGACGAGUCGAGUUGUUUGGGAAUGCAGCUCUAAAUGGGAGGUAAAUUUCUUCUAAAGCUAAAUACCGGCCAGAGACCGAUAGCGCACAAGUAGAGUGAUCGAAAGAUGAAAAGCACUUUGGAAAGAGAGUUAAAAAGCACGUGAAAUUGUUGAAAGGGAAGCGCUUGCAACCAGACUUCGUAGCGAUGUUCCGCUGGUCUUUUGACCGGUCUACUCAUCGUCGCGAGGCCAACAUCGUCUGGGCCCGCUGGAUAAGACCUAAGGAAUGUAGCUUCCCUCGGGAAGUGUUAUAGCCUGUGGUGAUGCAGCGUGGCUCGGGCGAGGUCCGCGCUUCGGCAAGGAUGUUGGCGUAAUGGUUGUCAGCGGCCCGUCUUGAAACACGGACCAAGGAGUCUAACAUCUAUGCGAGUGUUCGGGUGUCAAACCCCUACGCGUAAUGAAAGUGAACGGAGGUGGGAAGCGCAAGCUGCACCAUCGACCGAUCCUGAUGUCCUCGGAUGGAUUUGAGUAAGAGCAUAGCUGUUGGGACCCGAAAGAUGGUGAACUAUGCCUGAAUAGGGUGAAGCCAGAGGAAACUCUGGUGGAGGCUCGCAGCGGUUCUGACGUGCAAAUCGAUCGUCAAAUUUGGGUAUAGGGGCGAAAGACUAAUCGAACCAUCUAGUAGCUGGUUCCUGCCGAAGUU
rnacentral:rRNA from 1 species